rnacentral:rRNA from 1 species
GGAGGAAUAUUGGGCAAUGGACGAAAGUCUGACCCAGCAACGCCGCGUGAAGGAUGAAGGCCUUCGGGUCGUAAACUUCUUUUGAGGGAGACGAGAAAGGACGGUAUCCCUCGAAUAAGCCACGGCUAACUACGUGCCAGCAGCCGCGGUAAAACGUAGGUGGCGAGCGUUAUCCGGAUUCAUUGGGCGUAAAGAGCUUGUAGGUGGUGCGAUAAGUUGGACGUGAAAACUCCGGGCUUAACUUGGAGAGGCCGUUCAAUACUGUUGUGCUAGAGGGCGUCAGAGGGAAGUGGAAUUCCUGGUGUAGCAGUGAAAUGCGUAGAUAUCAGGAGGAACAUCCGUGGCGAAGGCGGCUUCCUGGGGCGCACCUGACACUGAGAAGCGAAAGCUAGGGGAGCAAACGGGAUUAGAAACCCGGUAGUCCUAGCUGUGAAACGAAUGGAUGCUAGGUGUGAGUGGAUCUAACCCCGCUCGUGCCGAAGCUAACGCGUUAAGCAUCCCGCCUGGGAACUACGAGCGCAAGCUUAAAAACUCAAAGG